rnacentral:lncRNA from 1 species
GAAAAUGAAGCUUACACACCUUUCCUUUGCUGAUGACUUAUUGAUUUUUAUUGAUGGAUCCUUGGAGUCUGUUCAGACGGUGCUACAGGUACUCCAUGAGUUUGAGAAGAGGUCGGGAUUAGCGGUGAGCUUUCAGAAGACAAGUUUUUAUGCGUCAGGUAUGAGUGCACAAGAAAUAGAUACAAUUCAAGCUUCAACGGGUAUGACUUGUGGUACUUUACCUGUGCGCUACUUGGGAGUCCCCUUAAACUCAAGAAAGCUCAAUCUCACUAACUGUGAGCCGUUAAUCCAUCAGAUAAAGAAGAGACUUUCUUCAUGGUCAGUUAAGUCUCUUUCCUUCUCAGGAAGACUACUUCUGAUCAAGACCGUCAUAUCGGGGAUAACAACCUUCUGGUGCUCAGCCUUCAUCCUGCCAAAAGCAUGUAUCAAAAGAAUUAAUUCUCUAUGCAGUGUCUUUUUGUGGAAAGGAGAUAUUGAGAGUCAUAACUCGGCGAGAGUAGCUUGGGACACGGUGACGCUUACUAAAAGUCAAGGAGGCCUAGGGAUCAAAGAUCUAAACACUUGGAACACGGCCUGUUGUCUCAAACUCAUCUGGAUGCUGUUCUUCCGUGCAGGUUCAAUCUGGGUCGCCUGGUUCAAAGAAGAGGUUUUGAAAGGAUCAAUUCAUAAUUACUGGACCACAAAACCUAGUACCUCGUUCACCUGGCUCGCGAACAAACUGCUGAAGCUUAAGACUGUUGUAUAUCCGCUGAUCAAACUGAGACUGCAGAAUGGCACAUCAGCAAGGUUCUGGACUGAUAACUGGACUCCAUUCGGUAGUCUAACAACCUUCCUCAACAAUUCUUCCUCCAGGCUUGGCAUCCCUGCAGCAGCUACGGUUGCCUCACUCUCUUGGAAUGGAAUGUGGCAGCUCCCAUCAGCGAGAACAGAGCAACAACUGCAGCUUCUCACAUACCUAACAACAGUUACACUUAAUCAGGAACAAGACUACUAUGAAUGGGAGUUGGCAGGCAAGACUGUCAGUAAAUACAGUACAGGAGAUGUCUACACUUACCUUCGUGGAGAGAUAGCUGAUGUCAAUUGGUCGAAGUCAAUCUGGUCUUCUUAUGAAAUUCCCAGACAUUCUUUCCUCGCUUGGCUUGUAAUCAAUAACAGAUGCCCCACUCGUGAUAGGCUUAUCGGCUGGGGAAUUCAGGUUUCACCUCUCUGUCUCCUAUGCAAUCUUCAUUCAGAAUCUCGAAACCAUCUGUUCUAUGAAUGUGGUUACAGUUUUGAUCUCUGGAACCUCGUUGCAACUAAGUGUGGCUUAACGCCUUGUCGUGAUUGGGACGGCACGGUUUUUCAGAUGAUUGCACUUCCUCGAUCAAAAUCCCGCCGGCACAGCACUCUUUUAACCCUCCUAGCGUGGAAAUCAACUAUCUACUGGACUUGGAAUGAAAGGAACUCCAGGCUUCACCAAAACAGCUUCCGAUCGGUCGACUCUCUGUUUGUGGCGCUUGAUAGAUAACUUAGGAACAGAAUCCAGAGUUUCAGAGAAACAAAUCCAACCCUCUCUUCUGCGAUGAUUCAACUCUGGUUUCAAUCCCCAUAGCCAACCUCUCCUGCUGUUGCAACUGCAUAUCGGCACUCAUCGCUUCCGUCGCAGACAACGCUUUGAUCGUUUUCUCACAAAACUAAAUUAUGGGUUCACUUGGGUUUUUACUAUGAGUUUUUAAGAUUGGGCAGGGUCCUGUAACUUUAAGCCCAUGGCUU